AACGAACGCUGGCGGCGUGCUUAACACAUGCAAGUCGAACGGAAAGGCCCUUCGGGGUACUCGAGUGGCGAACGGGUGAGUAACACGUGGGUGAUCUGCCCUGCACUUUGGGAUAAGCCUGGGAAACUGGGUCUAAUACCGAAUAGGACCACGGCAUUCAUGUGCUGUGGUGGAAAGCUUUUGCGGUGUGGGAUGGGCCCGCGGCCUAUCAGCUUGUUGGUGGGGUAAUGGCCUACCAAGGCGACGACGGGUAGCCGGCCUGAGAGGGUGACCGGCCACACUGGGACUGAGAUACGGCCCAGACUCCUACGGGAGGCAGCAGUGGGGAAUAUUGCACAAUGGGCGCAAGCCUGAUGCAGCGACGCCGCGUGAGGGAUGACGGCCUUCGGGUUGUAAACCUCUUUCGCCAGGGACGAAGCGCAAGUGACGGUACCUGGAGAAGAAGGACCGGCCAACUACGUGCCAGCAGCCGCAGUAA
rnacentral:rRNA from 1 species